UCUCUCUGAAUCUGCGAACGGCUCCGCAAACCAGUUGUAAACCAGAGCAAUGUCGCGACUAGAUUGGUAACGCUUUCCGGUCGAAUAUGGAUAACCGUGGUAAUUCUGAGGCUAAUACAUGACAAACUCGCUGAGCCCUCCCCUAACGGGGCGGGGGGGACGUGUUGCGCUGAGGGUUCAAGGAAGUUUUUAGCACGUUCAGACCACUGCAAAGGGGCUAAUCUUAAGUGGUAAGCCCUAGUGGCCAUUGCAACGGGCUUCUGACCUAUCAACUAUAUAGCAGCGUAAGGGACAUGCUAUGGUAACAACGGGUACAGAGGAUUAGGGUUCGAUCCUGGAGAGUGGGCCUGAGAGAUU
rnacentral:rRNA from 1 species